UACAGAGGUCUCGAGCGUUAGGCGGAAUCACUGGGCUUAAAGCGUGUGUAGGCGGAUUGCUAAGUACCUUGUGAAAUCCCACGGCUUAACCGUGGAACUGCUUGGUAUACUGGCUGUCUUGAGCCACUUAGGGGCGACCGGAACAAACGGUGGAGCGGUGAAAUGCGUAGAUAUCAGGAGGAACACCGGUGGUGUAGACGGCUUUCUGGACCGUAACUGACGCUGAGACACGAAAGCGUGGGUAGCAAACAGG
rnacentral:rRNA from 1 species